CCUUGGCCCGUUGUCUGUUGGCCAGUGCGCAAUUAAACUCUCCAAACAUGUUGUCUGUCUCUGUGUGAUAAGAUAGGAGAGUGUGAAUAGAGUGUUAUUGAUAGCUUCUGGACUUGCAGUGUGCUGGGGAUUUGCUCUGGGAAAUGGCGCAAUGGGAGAUCUCCCCUGGAACACCCUUUAUGUUCGGUUCACAACUGAUUUGCUCCAAACAAAUGACAAAGUGCAUAAUCUGCAUGAGAAAAGCUUGCAAAGAGACAGGGGCUCAGCUGUGAGAUCCCAUACGAUAACGUGUGUGUGCGUAUGGUAGCUGGGUGGGUUUGGAAAGGCCUUUUUGCCUAAAGUCCAUCUUCCAGGGAGAGUGCGAGAGGCAGCUGACUCUACAGGUUUGGUAGCUGAGAUGUAAAAACUUGCUGGACCAGCAACUCACUGAGCUGAUUUCUGCAGGGCUCUGCCUCAGAAUUGUUCUAUCUUGGACUAGAGAAUGGCCAAAGUCUGCAAAAAGUAUAUCUUGCUUCUUGGAAAUCUUUAAGUGCAGGGCAUUGCUCAGCUGGGUAUUUAGGCCAAGUAGAUUAGGGAAAGGCAGGAAGAGCUUCUGACUGUGCUGUAUCUGUAGCAUAGGUGUUAAAGAUGUCUUUGUGAGCCAGUCAGAGAAGAAUGCUGAGGAAAUCCUGUUUGGGUUAAUCUUGUUUAAUUUUACAAUCAAAAACAUAUGGCUGGCCAUCUGGCACUUUUUGCAAUCAAAUAUCUCACAAUUAACAGUAAUUUACUUGCCCUGAGACUUCCAGGAUCCUUAUGUGUGCUUUUUUUCUCCACCCCUAGUACGUGUGGUCCCCCUCCUGGAGCACUGCUGGGUGUAAGCUGAGCCCCAGAGCUGUCUGUAGGAAGCUGUGGUGGAGAGCAGUGCAAGGAUCCCACGGGCAUCUACUUUCCUGCUGCACCUUCUGCUCACACCCCCAAGAACUUCUGCCUUUCAGACCCCGCAGGAACCACAUUUAGGAAUUUGCAGACAGGAUGUGGAAGUAUCCUGCCCUUCAGGAAUGAUGGGAUCCAUCUCUGUGGUAACGCUGAAUUGUUAGGUGGUGCUGUUGAAAAUGGCUUUUCUUCUGCUGAAAUACCAGUCUGCUGCUUCAGGUACUUUAUUUCCAGAGGUGACAUUGGAAUUUGCAGCCUCUUCAAUAAUGUCAGGUCUCUUUUGAAUGAAUUCUUGCCCAUCCACCUCCGUAGCUUAACUGUAUGAACUCAGAACACGAAUAAAUGAAUUCCAGAUGAGAGAUCUGCA
rnacentral:lncRNA from 1 species